CAGGGAGACAACAAAAUGUUAAAUAUUAAUUUUGUCACCUUAGGUCGAUCGGUAUCUCACAUUCUUAAAUUUAUUAAGGAUUUUAUUUCCUAAGUUUUUUUCUAGGUCACACCCAUUACUUUUCCUGGGCCAUUAGCUCAGGUGGUUAGAGCGCACCCCUGAUAAGGGUGAGGUCCCUGGUUCAAGUCCAGGAUGGCCCAUAUCUCUAUGUUGGGGGUAUAGCUCAGUUGGUAGAGCGCCUGCUUUGCAAGCAGGAUGUCAGCGGUUCGAGUCCGCUUACCUCCACUGAUUACCACCUCUUCCAUAAUUUAAGGAAUAGUUUUGAGUCGUGAUCAAAGUCUGAAGGAAUCUAGCUUCCUAAUUAUCUUUAAUUAAGAUGCUGGAUUCAUUGAAUUACCUUCAAUGUUUUCAGAGAACCUUGACAACUGCAUAGAUUAUUUUUAAAGACAAUAAGCAUCUUUAAUGAUGCAGAUUUAUUAUUUUUGCAAAUGCAAUAAUAACAAUUCUAUUAAGCUGAUGCUUCAA
rnacentral:tRNA from 1 species